GUGAUCACCUCGGCAGCACAUACAUUAAAACUGGAACGAUACAGAAAAGAUUAGCUUGGGCCCUGCACAAGAAUGGCACGCAAAUUCAUGAAGCAUUCCAUGUUAAA
ensembl:snRNA U6 U6 spliceosomal RNA